rnacentral:snoRNA from 1 species
AGGAGGCGUGAUGAUAUCUAUCCAUCAUCUCUGUAUUUGGAUGAUGAAUAUUUAACAUGCACUACCAUCUUAACUCUU